CUACGGGAGGCAGCAAUUAGGAAUCUUGCGCAAUGGGCGAAAGCCUGACGCAGCGACGCCGCGUGACUGAUGAAGUCUUUCGGGAUGUAAAGGUCUUUUGCAGGGGAAGAAGGAUGUGACGGUACCCUGCGAAUAAGCCCCGGCUAACUACGUGCCAGCAGCCGCGGUAAUACGUAGGGGGCGAGCGUUGUCCGAAUUCACUGGGCGUAAAGCGCGCGUAGGCGGACCUUUAAGUCAGGGGUGAAAUGCCGAGGCUCAACCUCGGAACUGCCUUUGAAACUGGGGGUCUUGAGGUUUGGAGAGGGAAGUGGAAUUCCUGGUGUAGCGGUGAAAUGCGUAGAUAUCAGGAGGAACACCUGUGGCGAAGGCGGCUUCCUGGCCAUAUCCUGACGCUGAGGUGCGAAAGCUAGGGGAGCGAACGGGAUUAGAUACCCCGGUAGG
rnacentral:rRNA from 1 species